rnacentral:rRNA from 1 species
CAGUAGCCACGGUAAAACGGAAGGUCCAGGCGUUAUCCGGAUUUAUUGGGUUUAAAGGGAGCGUAGGCUGGAGAUUAAGUGUGUUGUGAAAUGUAGACGCUCAGCGUCUGACUUGCAGCGCAUACUGGUUUCCUUGAGUACGCACAACGUUGGCGGAAUUCGUCGUGUAGCGGUGAAAUGCUUAGAUAUGACGAAGAACUCCGAUUGCGAAGGCAGCUGACGGGAGCGCAACUGACGCUUAAGCUCGAAGGUGCGGGUAUCAAACAGGAUUAGAUACCCGUGUAGUCCCUGUCUCUUAUAC